UGGGUCCAACAAACACAGGGCUUUCAUCCAGGAGACUGCUGUCUGUGUCCUGUGUGUUAAGUUUGACUUUCACGUAACAAUCAGCUGUUCAUUCGUCUCCCGUGUUCACAGUGUCACAGUGUCAUUUUCACUUUACAAAC